UGAGCGCAUCCUGGUCAAGUACAACAAAGAAGAAAAGUGUGAUCCAUGCCCAUGCGUGAUUCUGCUGCUGAUGGCCCACUUCAAGGAGAAGUUUGAGGGGCUCAUUUUACAGGCCAAUGUGUUCUCAACAGCGGCUGACAUUGAGAGAACAAUGCCACUUCCUGAGUCUCCAAGAAUCAUCGUCUUAGGUGAUGUGCUCAUGCCAACGAGCUGGAUGCUUAGCAUUGAGGGCCAAGUGGUUGUGGGUCCACACCAGAAUAUUGGCUGGAAUGGCAGUGUUUUUCUCAUGCUAUUACGUCU